UCCCUCCUCAAACCUCGGGUUUGGUGUUGGACCGAAGUUGGUGCCCCGCUACGGCUCGGCAACCAACUGGUCUCAAAGACAAUGACGGCGUCCGUGGGACCCUCUUCGCAACGAGCUUUCCGGAGCACGCGUCGAGUCUAAAGGACCCCCGGGCCCGGUCAUACCUCUCGGGACGUCUCGGCGUCUCCUGUUGUAA
rnacentral:misc_RNA from 1 species